rnacentral:sRNA from 1 species
UAUUCUGCCCCACGGGGAAGGAUGAGAAGCUUCGACUAAGGUUCGACUCGAGCACCAGCGAGAGAACGUUGCCGCAGGCAACGGCCCGAAGGGCGAGGAGAGAUAGCGACGAGUUAUCCUUCCCCCACCACCA